UACGUAGGUGGCAAGCGUUGUCCGGAUUUACUGGGCGUAAAGAGCGCGCAGGCGGUCGUUCAAGUCGCGUGUGAAAGCCCCCGGCUCAACUGGGGAGGGUCACGCGAUACUGAUCGACUCGAAGGCAGGAGAGGGUAGUGGAAUUCCCGGUGUAGUGGUGAACUGCGUAGAUAUCGGGAGGAACACCAGUGGCGAAGGCGACUUCCUGGCCUGUUCUUGACGCUGAGGCGCGAAAGCUAGGGUAGCAAACGGG
rnacentral:rRNA from 1 species